UACGUAGGAGACGAGCGUUGUCCGGAGUUACUGGGCGUAAAGGGUGCGCAGGUGGCGGCGCGCGUGGGGGGUGAAAUCGCCCGGCUUAACUGGGCGGGGGCCUUCCAGACGGCGUGGCUUGAGCAGCGGAGGGGGACGUGGAAUUCCGGGUGGAGCGGUGAAAUGCGUAGAGAUCAUGAGGAAGACCAGUGGCGAAGGCGGGUCUCUGGACAGUUCCUGACACUGAGGCACGAAGGCCAGGGGAGCAAACGGG
rnacentral:rRNA from 1 species